UACGUAGGGUGCGAGCGUUGUCCGGAAUUAUUGGGCGUAAAGAGCUUGUAGGCGGUUUGUCGCGUCUGCUGUGAAAUCCGGGGCUCAACCCGGACCUUGCAGUGGGUACGGGCAGACUAGAGUGUGGUAGGGGAGACUGGAAUUCCUGGUGUAGCGGUGAAAUGCGCAGAUAUCAGGAGGAACAGCCGAUGGCGAAGGCAGGUCUCUGGGACCAGCUACUGACGUGGAGAAAGCGAAAGCAUGGGGAGCGAACAGGA
rnacentral:rRNA from 1 species